rnacentral:rRNA from 1 species
AGUGAACGCUGGCGGUAGGCCUAACACAUGCAAGUCGAACGACAGCAUAGUAAGAGCUUGCCCUUACGGGUGGCGAGUGGCGGACGGGUGAGGAAUACAUCGGCAUCUACUUUUUCGUGGGGGAUAACGUAAGACAACUUACGCUAAUACCGCAUACUUCCUACGGGUGAAAGCUAAGGAGCUUCAGACUUUUCCCGUUUCAAUGAGACGAUGUCGUAUUAGCUAGUUGGCGGGGUAAAGGCCCACCAAGGCGACGAUCCGUAGCUGGUCUGAGAGGAUGAUCAGCCACACUGGAACUGAGACACGGUCCAGACUCCUACGGGAGGCAGCAGUGGGGAAUAUUGGACAAUGGGCGCAAGCCUGAUCCAGCCACACCGCGUGGGUGAAGAAGGCCUUCGGGUUGUAAAGCCCUUUUGUUGGGAAAGAAAAGCAGCAGAUGAAUACCCCGCUGUUCUGACGGUACCCAAAGAAUAAGCACCGGCUAACUUCGUG